rnacentral:rRNA from 1 species
UACGUAGGGUGCAAGCGUUAAUCGGAAUACUGGGCGUAAAGCGUGCGCAGGCGGUUAUGUAAGACAGGUGUGAAAUCCCCGGGCUUAACCUGGGAACUGCAUUUGUGACUGCAUAGCUAGAGUACGGUAGAGGGGGAUGGAAUUCCGCGUGUAGCAGUGAAAUGCGUAGAUAUGCGGAGGAACACCGAUGGCGAAGGCAAUCCCCCUGGACCUGUACUGACGCUCAUGCACGAAAGCGUGGGGAGCGAACAGG